UACGUAGGGUGCAAGCGUUGUCCGGAAUUAUUGGGCGUAAAGAGCUCGUAGGCGGUCUGUCGCGUCGGCUGUGAAAACCCGAGGCUCAACCUCGGGCCUGCAGUCGAUACGGGCAAACUAGAGUACUGCAGGGGAGACUGGAAUUCCUGGUGUAGCGGUGAAAUGCGCAGAUAUCAGGAGGAACACCGAUGGCGAAGGCAGGUCUCUGGGCUGUAACUGACGCUGAGGAGCGAAAGCGUGGGGAGCGAACAGG
rnacentral:rRNA from 1 species